rnacentral:rRNA from 1 species
GAUGAACGCUAGCGGCAGGCCUAAUACAUGCAAGUCGAGGGGUAGAGAGAGCUUGCUCUCUUGAGACCGGCGCACGGGUGCGUAACGCGUAUGCAACCUACCUUUAUCUGGGGGAUAGCCCGAAGAAAUUCGGAUUAACACCGCAUAAAAUCACAGAACGGCAUCGUUCAAUGAUCAAAUAUUCAUAGGAUAGGGAUGGGCAUGCGUGCCAUUAGUUAGUCGGCGGGGUAACGGCCCACCAAGACCGCGAUGGCUAGGGGAUCUGAGAGGAUGGCCCCCCACACUGGUACUGAGACACGGACCAGACUCCUACGGGAGGCAGCAGUAAGGGAUAUUGGUCAAUGGAGGCAACUCUGAACCAGCCAUGCCGCGUGCAGGAAGACAGCCCUCUGGGUCGUAAACUGCUUUUAUUCGGGAAUAAACCUGCUUACGUGUAAGUAGCUGAAUGUACCGAAGGAAAAAGGAUCGGCUAACUCCGUGCCAGCCGCCGCCGUAAUAC